rnacentral:rRNA from 1 species
UACGUAGGUGGCAAGCGUUAUCCGGAUUUAUUGGGCGUAAAGAGAACGUAGGCGGUUUCUUAAGUCUGAUGUGAAAGCCCCCGGCUUAACCGGGGAAGUGCAUCGGAAACUGGGAAACUUGAGUGCAGAAGAGGACAGUGGAACUCCAUGUGUAGCGGUGAAAUGCGUAGAUAUAUGGAAGAACACCAGUGGCGAAGGCGGCUGUCUGGUCUGUAACUGACGUUGAGGUUCGAAAGCAUGGGUAGCGAAC